UCAAACCGUUCAUUUCCUCUGCUCAUCCUCUCUCUAGGGUUCCUCUCUCUCUCCUCCAUUCUGGGGGCAUCUGCACGAAUCCCCCACCAUCGCGCACAUCCGAACUCCGAAAGAGUACUUUCGGAGGGUUAAAGCACAAAUCUGUCCUAGCGAGGGUAUUUGAAACUGAGGACGACAGGAAGCGUACAUCAGAUUAGAUAAGUUCUUGCCCCGUUCAUCCCCAAAUUCCUAUCUCCUUUGCCCCGUAUGAGAGUUUUUAUUUGAUUUGGGGUGUUUUUGUGUGCGGAGGUGAUCGAAGUCCCAGGGUGAUUUCGCAACCAUCGGCAGAUCGUGGGGUUGGGGUUUUCUCCGUGAUCCUGGUGCAGCGAUUAGGAUCUCAUCGGCGAGCGCAUCUGGAAUCCGGGAUGAUUGGAAGCUCAAGUCAUCAGCAGCUCGCGGCUCUCCGUGAUUUGGUGUGGCGGAAGCUUAGGUCACAAUCACGUGAGCGAUACCCCCUCCUUCCAGCGCCUCCCCCCUCGCGCCUGUGACUGGAGCGAUUCCCCAUCCUUCCAGCGCCUCCCCCCUCGCGCCUGUGACUGGAUUUUUUGACAGGGAUUUUCCAUUCAUGGUGUCGGGUUUUUCAAUGUUGAAACGAAGUUUUGCUAACAGGGGGAAAGCUCACAUCCAGCAGAAAAAACACCAAAGUUUUUUUUCCAAACACACGCCAAUUAUAAUGCCAAGAGCACAGAAGCAGAAUAAGUCCGUGCGACAUCAUCCAAUGCAGUUUUCUAUGUGACCACUAGCCGGCUAUGUCACGAGAGUAAGGCCGUACCCAUAUGCUGAUAUGCAUACAGAAAGUCUGUAGAUAGUUUUCAAGCAACGGAAUGAAGAAAAAAUCAAAACUAUGCAGUCAGUCGUACUGCAGGAAGCAGGGUGGAGUUGGCGGGUUGCCCAUCAUAACGCAGGACCUGACCAGCGCCGGCACCCGCGGGAAGAGCCCGCCGCAGACGUCUUGGCGUCACUCGUCAGGCUUCCGGAAACGCCGGCGGCCUCAUGGAAGCGGUGGACGCGGCCAUGGCGCGCAUCGACGAAGGUGGCGCUCUGCUGCGUCCGGCACCGGCGGGACUCGCGGCCCACCAGCAUGCCGAAGGCCGCGUCGCGGGCUCGCAGCUGAUCUGCCGCGCGCCGCCCGCCGGGUAGCCACCUGCUCUCUCGGGAAAUUUUCGGACCCCCUCUACUACUACUCAUCAAUGGCACGCGGCCAGUGAGAAUUGAUGGCACGUUUGGAUUUCUGCUUGUCAAUAUUGCUUUGCCUGCGGCCGGUGUCGCCGUGGACCACCAGUGCGUGUCGAAUUGGUCGUGGUCCUCGCCGCCGGCGGCCCCCAGGCAGCCAGGAACGCGCUCGAGCCUUAUUGCCACGCGCCCACCACCAGUGGUGCCCAGGUUAUUCGUCGUUCGCCCAAAGCACAAAACACCGCCCGGAGCAGCAGCCACCUGAGUCGGACAUCCUCCUUCACUGACGACGGCGGCAGCGACGGUGCGUCCGGGCACCGGGCGCCGCCCAACGAGUGCGCCAAGCGCCGGUGGAAGGACGGGCGGGGGGAGGAGCAGGGAAAGAGAGCAAAACCGUCCGCCCACGAGCAGGAAGGGAAGGCUAAUGCACGAAAUCAAAUCCUCGUUAACCGAUCGACGGCGACGGAACGUCCUAGCUCCGAACAGCUUCUGCACGAGCGUUCCCGGAGGUCGAGCGGCGUCGAAUGGCCGGUGAAAGCACGGGCGGCGGCGGAGGAAGUCGUGCGCGCGCAAGAGAGCGAAGGGAGGGCUAAUAUGUUAAAAGGAGGGGGUAAAAUGUAAAAUGUCGGAUCGCGAUUAAUAAUCGCUACUAUAGAUCGCGAUCCAAAUUAGGGGUAAAGUGAAAAGUACCAGGGGGCAAAGUGAAAAUAAUAGGAGGCGAAAUGAAAACCUAAAAUCAGGGUACCUUCCCAUCUUCUCCCCUCCCGCGAGGGCACGAGCUCUCGACGCGGCGGCGCGGCAGAUCUCCGGCGCACCCCCUCCGCGACAUACAUGGAUUCGGAUGCGCUCCUGAAAAGAAGUGUGGCGUGUAUCGCCGUAUCAUCCCAAAUCUGAAGCGUCCCCGUCGACGAGAGCGGCAGGCGCCCGGAGCCUGCGCCGCAUCAGUUGCUUAUUGCUUGUGUUGCGGCGGACCGGCGGUCGUCCGUUGGCCGGCGGGGAUUCAAUCCCCAGAUGUUAUCCUCCACGAUCAGGAUGCGAUGCCUAAUGGCCGAGGGAAAUGCUGCUUCGGUUUCAUUUUGACAUGCCUAAUCCGGGGCUACGAGAUUCAGGAUCCUGAACAUUGCGCGCAGUUGGACAUUUGGCAGCUGUGCGUGAGCCUGAUGGAAGUUGAGAGACGGUGAGAACUGAGAGAUUGAUACUUCUUAGAAGGCAUGUUAUGCUGAGAAAAGUAGGAUUUGGUCAGAACUGUAGAAUGUGUUGUUAGUUUUUCUAGUAGUACUGUAGUAGUGCCUGACAUCCUGUUUGCUAUACAUGUUCAGUUAACUCUGCUCUGCUCGUGGUGAACUGAAAUUUCAGUUCAUCUUUGUAUGGUUGGCUGUCAAGUAUUUUAUAUCAU